rnacentral:rRNA from 1 species
CCUACGGGUGGCAGCAGUGAGGAAUAUUGGUCAAUGGCCGGAAGGCUUAACCAGCCAUGCCGCGUGAAGGUCAGUGCCCUAUGGGCGUUAAACUUCUUUUGUGCGGGAGCAAUAAUGGUCACGUGUGGCCAGACUAGAGUACCGUACGAAUAAGCAUCGGCUAACUCCGUGCCAGCAGCCGCGGUAAUACAGGGGAUGCCAGCGUUAUCCGGCUUUAUUGGGUGUAAAGGGUGCGUAGGCUGGGAGGUAAGUCAGCGGUGAAAUGCCCCCGCUCAACGGGGUGAAGUGCCCUUGAGACUGGCGAGCUGGAAUGCGGAUGCCGUGGGAUGAAUGUGUGGUGUAGCUGUGAAAUGCAUAGAGAUCACACAGAACACCGAUUGCGAAGGAAUCUCACGAAUCCGCGAUUGACGCUGAUGCACGAAAGCGUGGGUAUCAAACAGGAUUAGAUACCCUAGUAGUC